rnacentral:sRNA from 1 species
UUCGAGCGUCAGCGAGAAAGCGUUGCCGCAGGCAACGACCCGAAGGGCGAAGCGCGCAGCGCUGAGUCAUCCUUCCCCCAUCACCA